rnacentral:rRNA from 1 species
CCAGACUCCUACGGGAGGCAGCAGUGGGGAAUAUUGCACAAUGGGGGAAACCCUGAUGCAGCGACGCCGCGUGAGCGAUGAAGUAUUUCGGUAUGUAAAGCUCUAUCAGCAGGGAAGAAGAUGACGGUACCUGACUAAGAAGCCCCGGCUAACUACGUGCCAGCAGCCGCGGUAAUACGUAGGGGGCAAGCGUUAUCCGGAUUUACUGGGUGUAAAGGGAGCGUAGACGGUUAUGUAAGUCUGGAGUGAAAGCCCGGGGCCCAACCCCGGGACUGCUCUUGGAACUGCGUGGCUGGAGGGCAGGAGGGGCAGGCGGAAUUCCUGGUGUAGCGGUGGAAUGCGUAGAUAUCGGGAGGAACACCAGUGGCGAAGGCGGCCUGCUGGACAUUAACUGACGCUGAGGCGCGAAAGCGUGGGGAGCAAACAGGAUUAGAUACCCCAGUA